GAUGAACGCUGGCGGCGUGCCUAAUACAUGCAAGUCGAGCGAACGGACGAGAAGCUUGCUUCUCUGAUGUUAGCGGCGGACGGGUGAGUAACACGUGGAUAACCUACCUAUAAGACUGGGAUAACUUCGGGAAACCGUAGCUAAUACCGGAUAAUAUUUUGAACCGCAUGGUUCAAAAGUGAAAGACGGUCUUGCUGUCACUUAUAGAUGGAUCCGCGCUGCAUUAGCUAGUUGGUAAGGUAACGGCUUACCAAGGCAACGAUGCAUAGCCGACCUGAGAGGGUGAUCGGCCACACUGGAACUGAGACACGGUCCAGACUCCUACGGGAGGCAGCAGUAGGGAAUCUUCCGCAAUGGGCGAAAGCCUGACGGAGCAACGCCGCGUGAGUGAUGAAGGUCUUCUGAUCGUAAAACGCUGUUAUUAGGGAAGAACAUAUGUGUAAGUAACUGUGCACAUCUUGACGGUACCUAAUCAGAAAGCCACGGCUAACUACGUG
rnacentral:rRNA from 1 species